rnacentral:rRNA from 1 species
UCUUCCGAUCAUGUGUCCCAAGUAGCGCGGGCCUCGUGGAAUCCCGUGUGAAUCGGCCCCGACCGUGGGGUAAGUCUAAGCAUACCUGUCUGACCGAUAGCGUACCAGUACCGUGAGGGAAAGGUGAAAAGCACCCCGGGAGGGGAGUGAAAGAGUUCCUGAAACCGUGCGCCUACAAUCCGUCGGAGCCUCCUUGUGGGGUGACGGCGUGCCUAUCGAAAAAUGAGUCUGCGAGUCAGUGGUGCGUGGCGAGGCUAACCCGUGGUGGGGGAGCCGUAGCGAAGGCGAGUCUCAAAAGGCGUUUUGAGUCGCGCGCCCUGGACCCGAAGCGGGAUGAUCUAGCCCUGGGCAGGUUGAAGCGCGGGUAAGACCGCGUGGAGGACCGAACCCACCUGGGUUGAAAACCGGGGGGAUGACCUGGGGCUAGGGGUGAAAGGCCAAUCAAAUUCCGUGAUAGCUGGUUCUCUCCGAAAUGCAUUUAGGUGCAGCGUCGGUUGAUUGCAUCGCGGGGGUAGAGCUACUGGAUGCUUGCGGGCCCGUGUCGGGUACCAAUAGCAGCCAAACUCCGAAUACCGUGGAUGUGUAUUCCGGCAGUGAGUCGGCGGGGGAUAAGCUCCGUCGUCGAGAGGGAGACAGCCCAGAUCGUCGUCUAAGGUCCCGAAGCGUGUGCUAAGUGGGAAAGGAUGUGGAGUCGCAUAGACAGCCAGGAGGUUGGCUCAGAAGCAGCCAUCCUUGAAAGAGUGCGUAACAGCUCACUGGUCUAGUGGUUCCGCGCCGACAAUGUAGCGGGGCUCAAGCACACCACCGAAGACGCGGCAGCGGCCUUUGCGGCCGUUGGGUAGGAGAGCGUCCCGCGUGGGGCGAAGCGGCCGGGGAACCGUGCCGUGGACCGCGCGGGAGUGAGAAUGCAGACAUGAGUAGCGAGAGACGGGUGAGGAUCCCGUCCGCUGGAUGACCAAGGGUUCCAGGGCCACGUUCAUCGUCCCUGGGUGAGUCGGGUCCUAAGGCGAGGCCGACAGGCGUAGUCGAAUGGAUGAACGGGUGGAUAUUCCCGUACCGGCGGCGUACCGUAAGAGCCGAACGGAUGAGUACUAACCUCCGGUCGGGGUUCGGGGUCCGCGGUCGUUGGGAGCGUAGUCCUGGUAGGCUAGCGCACAGGGGUGACACGGAAUGGGAGCCGGCCGCGGAGGUGGUUUUCCGUGGUCAAGCACGCAGCCCGUCCCAUAGGCAAAUCCGUGGGACGCAUAGGGUGAGGUGUGAUGAUGGGCGUCUUUGAUGGCGCGAUAUCCGGUGGUCCAGGCCGUCGAGAAAAGCCUCGGCGCGAGGGGCGUCGCCGCCCGUACCCCAAACCGACACUGGUGGUCAGGUAGAGAAUACCAAGGCGAUCGAGCGAAUCCUGGUCAAGGAACUCGGCAAAUCACUCCCGUGCCUUCGGUAUAAGGGAGACCCCCGGGCGUGAAGAGGCUUGCCCUCGGAGCGUUGGGGGGUGGCACAGACCAGGGGGUAGCGACUGUUUACCAAAAACACAGGUGCAUGCGAAGGCGCAAGCCGCUGUAUAUGCACUGACGCCUGCCCGGUGCCGGAAGGUUAAGAGGAUCCGUCAGCCCCUUUUGGGGUGAAGCGGUGAAUUCAAGCCCCGGUAAACGGCGGUGGUAACUAUAACCAUCCUAAGGUAGCGAAAUUCCUUGUCGGGUAAGUUCCGACCUGCACGAAUGGCGUAACGACUUCCCCACUGUCUCGACCAGGAGCUCGGCGAAAUUGCAGUACGAGUAAAGAUGCUCGUUAAGCGCAGAAGGACGAAAAGACCCCGGGACCUUUACUAUACCUUGGUAUUGGCGUUAGGCGCGGAUUGUGUAGCAUAGGCGGGAGGCUUCGAAGCAUGGGCGCCAGCCCGUGUGGAGCCGCAAGGUGAAAUACCGCUCUGUUCUCGUUUGACGUCUCACCUCGAACAGUCAUCCUGUUCAGGGACAGUGCCUGGCGGGUAGUUUAACUGGGGCGGUUGCCUCCCAAAGAGUAACGGAGGCGCUCAAAGGUCCGCUCAGCCCGGUUGGCAAUCGGGUUUCGAGUGUAAUCGCACAAGCGGGCUUGACUGCGAGAACGACGGUUCGGGCAGGGACGAAAGUCGGAGAUAGUGAUCCGGUGCCGGCGCACGGGCGCGGCAUCGCUCAACGGAUAAAAGGUACUCCGGGGAUAACAGGCUGAUCAUUCCCAAGAGUCCAUAUCGACGGGGAGGUUUGGCACCU